UAAGAGAGAAGCCAAAAGUAGUGGGAGC
rnacentral:sRNA from 1 species